UGUUAUGUGGCUUAGUUGGUUAAAGCGCCAGUCAAGCGAAUACGGAGUCGUGGGUUCGCAUCCCACCAGAUCGA
rnacentral:tRNA from 1 species